rnacentral:lncRNA from 1 species
UGAAAUUUAAAAGGGUUAAAUGCAUUCAUGUUCCUGCAAAUAUAGUAAAUUACAAAUAUGUCCCUACAAAGUUCGACUUUUAUAUAUUGUUUCUGAAAAAUUCUAAUAUUUUUAAAAAUAUCCCUCUUGUUUGUUACCGUUAUAGAACUGUUUAUAUUUUAAAUAAAAUAUUAAUUUUGUCAUUACAAAUAUAUUCCUCCAAAAGUCAUAACAGUAUAAUAUAAGAGGGACAAAAAUGUCAAGUUAUCUCAUAAAUUAACCAGAAUUAAAUAUUUAACCUAUGGCUAACUAAAAUUUUCUAACGAAUUCUAACGGUAGGAACAUAUCUGAAAAUAUUAGAAUUUUUGCAGAGACAACAUCGAUCUAAAAAUUGAACUAUGUAGCAAUAUAUUUGCAAUUUACUAUAUUUGCAGAAACGUGCAUGAAAUUAACCCAAUUUAAAAAGUGUCAAU